rnacentral:rRNA from 1 species
GUCUACGGAUAUGCUACCCUGAACAAGCCCGAUCCCGUCUGAUCUUGGAAGCUAAGCAGGGUCGGGUCUGGUUAGUACUUGGAUGAGAGACCACUUAGGAAGACCAGGUGCUGUAGGCA